GGCGGGCAUCAUGGCACCCCUUGCCAGAAGCCGCUGAGCUGCAGCUAGGGGAUGGACGGGUUUGUCUCUCUGUAGCAGUUGUGGGAGGACGGAACAGGUGCCCACGUAGAUGAAGCCCCCCGCGGUGAAGGGCAGGACCUCAGCCGCGUGGCCGCAUCCACCCCUCAGCCCAACAGGGAAACAGGCCCUGCCCUCCACGGCACGCAAGGGCUGGUGGAGAGCUGAGGCGCAUGGCCUGGGGCGGGGGGAGAAAAUAAUGGGGUUUAAGUGGGGGAUAUGGGGGAUAUGGGGGUUAAUGGGGGGAUAUGGGGGGGGGGUCUUUGGAAGGGUCUGAGGGGGUCUUUGGGGGUUUUAAGGGGUUUGGGGGUCUUUGGGGGGAUAAUGGGGUUAAUGGGGGCUUGGGGGGGGGAGGGGUCUUUGGAAGGGGUCUGAGGGGGUUUGGGGGCCUUAAGGGGGCUUUGGCGGUCUUGGGGGGUUUGUAUGGGAUAUUGGGGAGGAGGGUCCUUUGGGGGGUCUUAAGGGGCUUUGGGGGUUGAGGGGGAUAUGGGGGGUAAGUGGGGGGGGGGAGGGGUCUUUUGGGGGGUCUGGAGGGGUCCUUUUGGGGGCUCUUUGGGGGGAUAAAAUGGGGGUUCAAUGGGGUGAUAUGGGGGGGAAUAUGUGGGGGGAGGGGUCCUUGUGGAGGGGUCUAAGGGGUCUUGGUAUCAAGGUGGGUCUUAAGAGGGUACUAUGAGGGGGUCUUGGGGGGGCUCGAGGGGGGUCGGAGGGGUCUUUGAUGGGGAUACAGAAUGGGGGAUGUGGGGGUCUGAUGGGGGUCUUUGGGGGGAUAAAAUGGGGGUUAAUGGGGGGGAUAUGGGGGGGGAGGGGUCUUUGGGGGGGUCUUUGGGGAGGGGCUGUGGGGGUCCCAGGGGGAUUUUUGGCAGGGGUCUUAAGGGGGAUUUGGGGGUCUUUGGGGGUCCUUUGGGGGUCUUGAGGGGGAUAUUGGGGGGGGAUAUGGGGCGAGAGGGGUUUUGGAGGGGUUCUGAGGAGGAUCUUUGGGGGUCUAAGGGGUUUGGGGUCUUGGGGGUUUUUGGGGGGAUAAAAAUGGGGGUUAUAUGGGGGGGAUAUGGGCGAGGGAGGGGUCUUUGGGGGGGUCUUUGGGGGUCCAGCGCGUGGCCGCAUCCCCCACCCCCUCAGCCAACAGGGAACAGGCCGCCCCCCCUAGCAGCGGCGCCCAGGGGCUGUGAGGAGCCUGGAGGCGCAUGGCCUGGGGGGGGAGAAAAAUGGGGGUGCAAUGGGGGGGAUAUGGAGGGAUAUGGGGGGGGAGGGGUCUUUUGG
rnacentral:lncRNA from 1 species